CGCUUGUUCGCUCACUCUCAGUGAAAAGAGUUUUGAAAUGAGUUCUGAAUAGACAGCAUUUUCUUUGUGCGGUUGGUAAAUAACACAGAGCAAAGUUAGCAAGUUGCAGCGCCUCUGCGUUCUGAUUCUAUGGAACCUUUUUGUAGGGAGAAGGGCAGGAUGUUUUUAACUGAAUGUGACCUCACGGGAAUACUAGAGAAAAUAAUAAAAUUUCUGAAUGGGGCAGCGUGGAGAAAUCCUAAGAGAAAUAGCAUAAGAGCAUUUUGGAACACAUCCAGGAAAAGAUAACUUUCGACACACCUGUAGACGUUCGCCAGGUAAAGGAAAUCCAGGCCCUUGAGCAAUGUAUUGAUGAAUUGGGGUGGAAAUGUAGGAGGAUGGAAACGAUGGCGGCACUGGACUGUUUUCCAGAAACCAUUUACACAGGCUUACCAGAAGAGGGCAGCGCAGAGCAAUGAACUCUCCGAGGAGUUUCCAAACAGACGUCUCUUGAAACCCAAAGUGAAAAUCUCUGCCUGAAAGUAGCCGUUUUUGGACAGCGUCCUCCACCAAAACCAUAGAUCUCUAAAAUAAUAAU
rnacentral:sRNA from 1 species